rnacentral:tmRNA from 1 species
GGGGAUGAACGGCUUCGACGGGGCAGGCUGUUCCUUGACUGCAAGCCGUAGAGCGUCGGCUACGUUAAAAAGGCGCAACACAUAUAAAUGCCAAAUCAACAGGCAAGGUCUUCAACUUCGGUUUCGCCCAGGCCGCUCCGGCUGCCUUGGCUGCUUAAGUUAAGCAGACCAAUCCUGACCCUCUAAUGUAGGGUCACGGCCCGCUUCAGUGGCGCCUGCAGGCUGGAGCGGAUGCCGACAUAUACUGAGAGGCUGCGAUGACUGGACGCCGCUAAGGUCAUCUAAGGAUCAGCGGCUAGCCGACACCGUGAACCCGGUCGCCAGGGGUCAGUUCGGCAAAGCGUAAAAUGGUGACUAAGCUUGUAGAUGUCUCUGAACGAGUGUUUCGGACGCGGGUUCGAUUCCCGCCAUCUCCA